rnacentral:lncRNA from 1 species
GAGCCUGAAUAGUAAUAUCAGUUAUCAAAGUAGUAAAAAUCUUCUGAGUUGUUUAAUAGUUAAACAGCUAAACACAUCUAUCACUCACCUCUCAAAUCCUUAGAUGUGUAGGUGGCCGUAAAAAGUUCAGAAAGUAUCUGUAUUUUCAAAUGAUUUUGUUGUCCUUCAUCUGCAAUUUAUAUGAUGUCAUUGAUGAAAGCAUAAAACUACAGUAUAUCAUAAACUGCAGGUUUUACACGUGCAUCAGUCUCCCAGAUCAGCUAAAAGAAGAAAGCUGGGUUGUAGUACAGUGGAACCUGAAGAUGGAAACUGUGAAGAAGGAAACCUUGCUUCAGAAGUGUUUGACAUUCUGUUUUGAUCUCGGUUAACAUCUGAGCAGAACACAGUAUUCUGGUCUUGGCAGGAUAUCUGGCCCCUUGAAUCAGGAUGGAGGAGUACUGCCAAGAACAGGUCAUCCCAGCCUCAGUGCACUUCUCCAGCAGCUACACAGGAGGUGCAAACUCAUCAGCUGGAUGCAAAUUAAAUGCAGAAUUUAGGUUUUUGACAACUUCCAACAGGAUCUGCAGUAGGGUCAAAGCUUGGUUUUUCGAACAGGCUCAAACAGACAUAAUGCUAAACACAGUGAAGGAGAAAAUGUGCACCAUAUCACAAUAUAAUACUUCCGUAAUGGACAAGAGCAGAUGAAUUCAUCUGAUUCAUUCAAAAGUAACAUUGAACUUAGGGUUAAAUUCUGCUACCUUUAAUCAUAGUACUCCAUACCUCAAGUACUACUAUUGACUUCAGAGAGAUGGGUGUCUUGCAUGUUUUACAGCAGCCUUGAGCAAACUAUAAUGCAAAGAAUCUUGAGUAAGUAACUUCUGUGUUUGUCCAGAGAAGUGUGCCUCUAAGUGUGUUUAAAGAGAAAGCAGACAAAGAAAAAAUAUGUUUGAUGUAAAAUCAGUGUUUCUUGAUAUUUAAUAAUACUUGCUUUUGAUUUUUUGUUUUAUUGUAUGGCAUAUUUGUAUUAUGUACAAUAUAUCAUGUUCAAUAUGGAUUUACCUGUCUCAAAAUUUAGCUCAUUCCCGUCACAUUGUCCCUGUUGAACGGCAAGAGGACGUCUAUGUGAUAAAAAGUGUUAAAUAUCCAUCUGAAACAGAAAAAAUGCUUUCUGCAGAAUGUGAGAUGAUUCUGUGGAAAUAACUGCCGUAGAAUAUCACAGUGACUGAGGCAUUUGUAAGGGAUUUGACACACAGAUAAAUAAUGAGACAAACAUAGUGAAUUAUGAUCGUAGUUUGAAAGAACUAUUUAAUGUAAUGUUUAAGAUUUAGAAAAAGGAGUAGUUUGAGAAGUAAUGAAAAGUAAAGUAAAAAAAAAUAAUAGUAAUGAAUAAUGUAAUGAAAAGUAAUGAAAAGUAAAAAAAAAAAAGUAAUGAAUAAUGAAAAUCUGAAUUGGUAUGACACUUCUUCUGCUUCAAAGUCCUUACAAUAAUUAAAAAAUAAUAAAUAAUAAAAAAAGGCAAAAUUAGCA